rnacentral:rRNA from 1 species
GACGAACGCUGGCGGCGUGCUUAACACAUGCAAGUCGAACGGAAAGGCCCUGCUUUUGUGGGGGGCUCGAGUGGCGAACGGGUGGGUAACACGUGAGUAACCUGCCCUUGACUUUGGGAAAACUUCAGGAAACUGGGGCUAAUACCGGAUAGGAGCUCCUGCUGCAUGGUGGGGGUUGGAAAGUUUCGGCGGUUGGGGAUGGACUCGCGGCUUAUCAGCUUGUUGGUGGGGUAGUGGCUUACCAAGGCGUUGACGGGUAGCCGGCCUGAGAGGGUGACCGGCCACAUUGGGACUGAGAUACGGCCCAGACUCCUACGGGAGGCAGCAGUGGGGAAUAUUGCACAAUGGGCGGAAGCCUGAUGCAGCAACGCCGCGUGCGGGAUGACGGCCUUCGGGUUGUAAACCGCUUUCGCCUGUGACGAAGCGUGAGUGACGGUAAUGGGUAAAGAAGCACCGGCUAACUACGUG